rnacentral:rRNA from 1 species
GACGAACGCUGGCGGCGUGCUUAACACAUGCAAGUCGAACGGAAAGGCCCCUUUGGGGGUACUCGAGUGGCGAACGGGUGAGUAACACGUGAGUAACCUGCCCUUGACUUCGGGAUAACUUCAGGAAACUGGGGCUAAUUCCGGAUAGGAAUCCUUGCUGCAUGGUGGGGGUUGGAAAGCUUCGGCGGUUUUGGAUGGACUCGCGGCUUAUCAGCUUGUUGGUGGGGUAGUGGCUUACCAAGGCUUUGACGGGUAGCCGGCCUGAGAGGGCGACCGGCCACAUUGGGACUGAGAUACGGCCCAGACUCCUACGGGAGGCAGCAGUGGGGAAUAUUGCACAAUGGGCGGAAGCCUGAUGCAGCAACGCCGCGUGCGGGAUGACGGCCUUCGGGUUGUAAACCGCUUUCAGCAGGGGCGAAGCUUGUGGUGACGGUACCUGCAGAAGAAGCACCGGCUAACUACGUG